rnacentral:rRNA from 2 species
AACAAGGUUUCCGUAGGUGAACCUGCGAAAGGUUUGUUGU